GAAGGGGUGGCCUAGUAGUUAGGGUGCUGCACUCGGACUCAGAGGUUCUGGGUUCAAAUCUCAGCUCUGUCU
rnacentral:tRNA from 1 species